CCUCAAAGCCUGGGGCUUUGCCCUAGAAGGUCGCAGCUGUGGCUCUUCUCCUGAGAUACAUGGUCUCCUCCAAAAUGGCAUCCAAAGAAGGGAUGCUUCUUGUGGAACGGUAUCAGUGACCCACUUGUUCCUGUUGUCGGUGUUUCCCAGUGGCUUGGGAACCUUUGGCAUCGCCAGCUAUGGCUGUCGAAGCAGGGAACCCAGACAACAAGUGUAUGCGAACCCUGAGAGGUUCAGUAUCACAUUAUUUCCAUGAGGUUUCCAGAAGUGAAUGAAGCAUUUCAGGCACAGUUUCACUAAAGAGAGACAGAUCUAGCUGCACAAGGAUCUGUCAUGUGCAAUUUUGUUUACUUCUGCCUGUUUGCUAACCUCCAACUUCAGCUUGAUUGUGGUUUGAUGCCAGGCUGACUUCAGAGGUAAUGCAGAUGGAAGGGAUUCAGCCAGCACUCCUUCA